GCGCUAUUGGAGCAGCCGAUGUCAGAUUAGCUAGUUGGUAGGGUAAGGGCCUACCAAGGCUACGAUCUGUAACUGGUCUGAGAGGACGACCAGUCACACUGGGACUGAGACACGGCCCAG
rnacentral:rRNA from 1 species